rnacentral:rRNA from 1 species
GACGAACGCUGGCGGCGUGCUUAACACAUGCAAGUCGAACGGAAAGGCCCUGCUUUUGUGGGGUGCUCGAGUGGCGAACGGGUGAGUAACACGUGAGUAACCUGCCCUUGACUUUGGGAUAACUUCAGGAAACUGGGGCUAAUACCGGAUAGGAGCUCCUGCUGCAUGGUGGGGGUUGGAAAGUUUCGGCGGUUGGGGAUGGACUCGCGGCUUAUCAGCUUGUUGGCGGGGUAGUGGCUUACCAAGGCUUUGACGGGUAGCCGGCCUGAGAGGGUGACCGGCGGAGCUGGAACUGAGACACGGGCCAGAGUCCUACGGGAGGCAGCGGUGGGGAAUGUUGGACAAGGGGCGCAAGCCUGAUCCAGCCAUACCGCGUGGGUGAAGAAGGCCUUCGGGUUGUAAAGCCAGGUGGUGGGGAAAGAAAAGCAGCAGGUUAAUACCCCGCUGUUCUGACGGUACCCAAAGAAUAAGCACCGGCUAACUUCGUG